AAGUCGUAACAAGGUUUCCGUAGGUGAACCUGCGGAAGGAUCAUUAUUGAAAAUAGCUGCUACGUCCUGAUAGUAGAAGGCGAAGGAUUCGAAUCCAGCCAAGUUAGUAUGAGUACUUUCGCGGUUGCUUCCGAGCCGAUGUACCCUCUACGAUUUUUGGACCAAUUGCUCUCUCACGAGAGGUAGCAACUUAAUUCAACCACUUGUGAAUUUGUAAUUUAUUUUACCAACUGACUGUUAACGAAGACUGAUUCAAUAACUUGUUGGUGUUUAAAGACACUAAUACAAUCAUUGAAACAACUUUUGGCAACGGAUCUCUUGGCUCUC
rnacentral:misc_RNA from 1 species